CUUGUCUGGUAUAGUGGUAUUAAUGAAAUUCCUUUUAUUUAUCUAGAUAUUGCAGGGAAAAAGAUACUAAUUCUUCUAUCUCGUAGUCAAUGAUCAUUCUGUUUCUGCCCAUAUAAGCACUUCCAUGUCAGGGCUUUUGAGCUUUUUAAUUUCUCGUCACAUAUCCAUCCUAAAGCAAAGCAUGUGUUAUGAGCUUGUUUACAAAUCUUCCUAGGUAGCAAUGCUGAUGUGACAUAUUUAAUGCUUUCCAAGUACGUUUUUCUCAAAAAAAUGCUUUCCAGGUACUUUGGAAGUAGGAGAUUUCCAAAGCUCUUUAGGUUCUGCAGCUUCGGUAGUUAGGUUGAUGUACAGCUGCUGCUCUUCGUUUGAACUGCAACUCAUCAUGAUUAUAUUUGCUUGAAGUAGAUAUGCUUGCUUUCUCUACUGUUCCACUUAAUAGACUAGUUGAAUGUGCUUGCUGAUCCUUGUACUUUUCAUUUUUUCAUAGUUAUUUGACGGAAAGGAAGAUUCUAGACGGGAUUUCUUUUACUGUGCCAGCUGGAAAAAGUGUAGCUAUUGUAGGAACGAGUGGUAGUGGCAAAUCAACCAUUCUUAGAUUGCUCUUCAGAUUCUUUGACACCCAUUCUGGAAAUGUAAAAAUAGAUGGUCAAGAUAUUCGGAAGGUUACACUUGAGAGUCUUCGGAAAUCUAUUGGCGUUGUUCCCCAGGAUACUGUCCUAUUCAAUGAUACUAUAUUUCACAAUAUCCACUAUGGACGGCUCUCUGCCUCUGAGGAGGAGGUGUACAAUGCUGCUCGGCAAGCUGCAAUCCAUGACACUAUUAUGAAAUUCCCCCAGAAGUAUGCUACAGUGGUGGGAGAACGUGGACUUAAGGUGAGUCCCUUUUAGUCCCCCCAUUUUCUCUAUUUGU